GGGGGGUUUGAGAUUGAUUGUAGUAACUAAUAAUGAGAGUAAUAAUAGAAAGCAAAUAAUUAAAAUAAAAGAGUAAAUCAAUAUGAGAAAAGCCUAGUUGAAGAUAUGGAUCCACUUUGGUUGUUUGGGUUGAUCAUUGAAACUUAAAUUAUCUCGAUUGGUUCAAUAGAUUAGUUAUGGGGGUGGAAGACGCUUCUCACCACCAUGUCUCUCCUUAUGAUUAAAUUAAUUAGGGAACGUC
rnacentral:lncRNA from 1 species